GCUGGGCGCGGUGGCUCACGCCUGUAAUCCCAGCACUUUGGGAGGCCGAGGCGGGCGGAUCACGAGGUCAGGAGAUCAAGACCAUCCUGGCUAACACGGUGAAACCCCAUCUGUACUAAAAGUACAAAAAAUUAGCCNNNNNNNNNNGGCUAAUUUUUUGUACUUUUAAUAGAGACAGGGUUUCACCGUGUUAGCCAGGAUGGUCUCCAUAUCCUGACCUCGUGAUCCACCCGCCUCAG
rnacentral:SRP_RNA from 1 species